rnacentral:rRNA from 1 species
GUGGGGAAUCUUCCGCAAUGGACGAAAGUCUGACGGAGCGACGCCGCGUGAGUGAAGAAGGCCUUCGGGUCGUAAAGCUCUGUCAUCAGGGACGAAUGGCCGGUGGAGUGGAAAGCCACCGGAUUGACGGUACCUGAGAAGGAAGCCACGGCUAACUACGUGCCAGCAGCCGCGGUAAUACGUAGGUGGCAAGCGUUGUCCGGAAUUAUUGGGCGUAAAGCGCGCGCAGGUGGGAUCUUAAGUCCAUUUUGAAAGUUCGGAGCUCAACUCCGUGAUGGGAUGGAAACUGGGAUUCUUGAGUACCGGAGAGGAAAGCGGAAUUCCCCGUGUAGCGGUGAAAUGCGUAGAUAUCUGGAAGAACACCAGUGGCGAAGGCGGCCCCCUGGACAAAGACUGACGCUCAGGUGCGAAAGCGUGGGGAGCAAACAGGAUUAGAAACCCUGGUAGUCC